UACGUAGGGGCUAGCGUUGUCCGGAAUCAUUGGGCGUAAAGCGCGUGUAGGCGGUCCGGUAAGUCCGCUGUGAAAGUCGGGGGCUCAACCCUCGGAUGCCGGUGGAUACUGUCGGGCUUGAGUACGGAAGAGGCGAGUGGAAUUCCUGGUGUAGCGGUGAAAUGCGCAGAUAUCAAGGAGGAACACCAAUUGCGAAGGCAGCUCGCUGGGACGUUACUGACGCUGGAGGAGCGAAAGCAUGGG
rnacentral:rRNA from 1 species